rnacentral:rRNA from 1 species
UACGAAGGGGGCUAGCGUUGUUCGGAAUUACUGGGCGUAAAGCGCACGUAGGCGGACAUUUAAGUCAGGGGUGAAAUCCCAGAGCUCAACUCUGGAACUGCCUUUGAUACUGGGUGUCUUGAGUAUGGAAGAGGUGAGUGGAAUUCCGAGUGUAGAGGUGAAAUUCGUAGAUAUUCGGAGGAACACCAGUGGCGAAGGCGGCUCACUGGUCCAUUACGGACGCUGAGGUGCGAAAGCGUGGGGAGCAAACAGG